UGACACCAAACGUCGUGGAGGGUAU
rnacentral:piRNA from 1 species